rnacentral:sRNA from 1 species
AUCCGCAUUUGCUACCAGCGGCGGCCGCGGCGGAGCCAGGCCGGUCCUCAGCGCCCAGCACCGCCGCUCCCGGCAACCCGGAGCGCGCACCGCAGGCCGGCGGCCGAGCUCGCGCAUCCCAGCCAUCACUCUUCCACCUGCUCCUUAGAGAAGGGAAGAUGAGCGAGUCGAGCUCGAAGUCCAGCCAGCCUUUGGCCUCCAAGCAGGAAAAGGACGGCACUGAGAAGCGGGGCCGGGGCAGGCCGCGCAAGCAGCCUCCGAAGGAGCCCAGCGAAGUGCCAACACCUAAGAGACCUCGGGGCCGACCAAAGGGAAGCAAAAACAAGGGUGCUGCCAAGACCCGGAAAACCACCACAACUCCAGGAAGGAAACCAAGGGGCAGACCCAAAAAACUGGAGAAGGAGGAAGAGGAGGGCAUCUCGCAGGAGUCCUCGGAGGAGGAGCAGUGACCCGUGCGUGCCGCCUGCUCCUCACUGGAGGAGCAGCUUCCUUCUGGGACUGGACAGCUUUGCUCCGCUCCCACCGCCCCUGCCCCUUCCCCAGGCCCACCAUCACCACCGCCUCUGGCCGCCACCCCCAUCUUCCACCUGUGCCCUCACCACCACACUACACAGCACACCAGCCGCUGCAGGGCUCCCAUGGGCUGAGUGGGGAGCAGUUUUCCCCUGGCCUCAGUUCCCAGCUCCCCCCGCCCACCCACGCAUACAUACAUGCCC